UAAGUCCCGCAACGAGCGCAACCCUUGUCCUUAGUUGCCAGCAUUAAGUUGGGCACUCUAAGGAGACUGCCGGUGACAAACCGGAGGAAGGUGGGGACGACGUCAAGUCAUCAUGGCCCUUACGAGUAGGGCUACACACGUGCUACAAUGGCAAGUACAGAGGGAAGCGAGACGGUGACGUGGAGCGGACCCCUUAAAGCUUGUCGUAGUCCGGAUUGAAGUCUGCAACUCGACUUCAUGAAGUCGGAAUCGCUAGUAAUCGCAGGUCAGCAUACUGCGGUGAAUACGUUCCCGGGCCUU
rnacentral:rRNA from 1 species